GAUGAAGAAGGUAGUGAAAUGCGAUAAGUGAUGUGAAUUGCAGAAUUCAGUGAAUCAUCGAAUCUUUGAACGCACCUUGCACUCCUUGGUAUUCCGAGGAGUACGCCUGUUCGAUUGUUAUGAAGCUCACAAAACGCAAUUGGCUUAAAACCUGAUUGUUGUUUUGGAUUUGAACUUUGCCGUGUUAUAACGGCUGGUUUUAAAAGUAUUAGCUGGUACUAGAACGAAUUGGUUCUACUCAACGUGAUAAUUAUCUGAUCGUUGAGGACAUUCCUUUCACGAGGAAUGGCCAUAGUAAAUUCAAUGGACUGCUUCUAAUCUGGCUUUAAUUCUUUAUUGGAUUAACCACUUUUCAAAUCUGACCUCGAAUCAGGUGGGACUACCCGCUGAACUUAAGCAUAUCAAUAAGCGGAGGA
rnacentral:misc_RNA from 1 species